AAAAUAUUUUCCAAUUUCUUAGAUCAUUAGCAUAUAUCAUACUAAAUGAACAAAUAUUUCACCAAGUUUGGCGCAUAAUUGUUCAUUACUUUAAUUUGGUGAGAAAUUUUAAAGUCCUAUUCGAGUUGAAUUAGAGUCUUCUCUCUAGGUGUAGAAAAAUGAGUAGGGUCACCUAUGCCACCAUCGACUGUUGAAUUAGAGUCUUCUCUCUAGGUGUAGAAAAAUGAGUAGGGUCACCUAUGCCACCAUCGACUACAAAAUGCCCAACACGAGAAAGCUCCACAGCUUGAGUCUUGGGGCAUCUAGCCCACCCUAGCAGGGCAGGGCAUAGGUAUUUUUUGACAUUUUAGGCCAAGGUCAAGGUGUCACUCUAUAUAUAGAGAGAUACCGAACGUCCAGGGCCCCUCCAAUAGGGGGGCAGCAAUUAGGUGCCCUGUUAGGAUUCCAAAUAUAUAUUGGGACAACAAGUGCAAGUUAAACUCCAUAUAAGUAAACGUCAAUUAUUCUACCGCUAGGAAAAUGCUAUCUGUACACUGACGUUGACACUCCGGUGUACACUCCCCUCACAUAAGGGGAUAGGCCCCACGACAAAAAAAAAUAUCUUGGAAUCCUCCAUGUGAGGGGAGUGUACACCGAAAUAUCAAUCUCGAUGCACGUGUAGCAAAACUCUUACCUCUAAAGCCAAAAAUUAGGCUCCCUGUUUGGAUUCCAAAUAUAUAUUGGGACAACAGUGCAAGUUAAACUCUAUAUAAGCAAAUUUCAUAUAUUCUACGUUAAAGCCAAACUCGUCCACUUCAUAAAACAUUAGGAAAGCAUGAAACAUUACCAUUAUGAUAGCUAAAAACUGUACAGCAUAAAAAAUCAUCUCAAAUGGUAAUUGAGAGACCAUCAUACACGUAAAAAAAUUUGAAAGAAUAAAUUGCUUAGUAUAAAUCAAUGAAACCUAAUCAAUUCAAUUGGAAAAUGAUACUGCUAGACCUCCAAUUGUUUACAGAUGUAUUCUCAAUAUUUAGAGCAACAACCUAGGUAACAUUAUUUUAUCUUUAGCCUAAGUUAAAAUCAACUCAGAAACUCGAUCAACCCAUAACCAGUUAGUCUUGAGCAACUGGUUAAUCAGAACUCAUUGAUUUUUAUCAUCCAGUUUUUAAUAUGGUUCAACAUCAAUAUACAAUUUUUCCAGAAAAUCCACCUGGACUGGUUUUCAAAACAUUACCUCAAGUGUACACACUAUCAAAACCUAAUUGUGGCAUUUCAUCAUCAUAUCAAAUUAGCAUUAAUCCCAGAAAUUGAAUGUUUUGAGUUUGUUGAGCAUUUUUCAGAACAAAGAUCAUGACCUUUCAUAAGUUAAUUCAAGAAUUAAUCUAAUUUUGAGAGCUUACACCUUCUCCAAAACAUAGGCUCAAGCAGUGACCAAACUGUAAAAAACAUAACUUCAUUGUAACAACCUUAGCCCCUGUUUGGAUUCCAUUCUAUUAUAAUGCAUUUUUUCUCAAGUUUUCCUACUGUGACAGGGCUGGGGACAGGCCCCUACAACAGGAGGCCACCUCAGCCCUUGAUCUGAACUGUCACAGGAGCCUGUCCCCGGCUCUAUCACAGUAGCAGGGCCCUUAUUUCUCUUUUCCAACUAUUAAGAGCAAGAGAUCAAUUCUGUUAAAGCUCAUACUUAAAUCCCUGUGCAAAUAAUUUCUUGCUACUUUUAAGCAUAGCCACAUGCUCAUAGUUAGAGGUUUCCAACGUGCAGAAGCUGAAAGCAGCAUGAUAAAAAUGAUAGGUUGGCCUGUUUUGUUGACUAUACCAGCCCACUGGCUCGCCCCAUAAGUGGGCUAGCUUACAACAAUGUGCAAAUUUUAUUUUUCUUCUAAAACAGACCAAAAAAAUCUACUUUCUGCAUUGAUUUAAUAAUCAAGAGAAAGAGUUCAUCUUGAUUAUAAAAUAAUCAAUGCAAAAGAUUAAAAACAAGUUUGGUCAUGCUUAAAAGCCGCUUUUUACUAACUCUACAUGCUACCAAGAAAAUAGCUAAAAAGCCACUUUUAAACACAACUAAACAUGCUAUAAAUCUAGCAUUGAAUAUAUAAUCAAUGUAAACUUGCUGUCUUGAUUAUUUAAUCAAAGCAUUCUUUCCAGGCACAUCUGUCUCGGAAGAGUUGGCCUUUCCAAAUUCAAUUCUAUUUUUUUCUUUAGAUCUGUUAUUACAGCACUACAUUAUGAUGAUCAUGUCAAUGCAAACAAUUACAUUGUGACCAAUUUAAGAGAGCAUUAUAAAUUAUAAUUGUCACUUGCAAGUGCCAAAUAGGAUUUUAUUGAUGCAAUCCAUGAUCAGGUUCAUGCCCAAAAUACAAACUUGAGGGAACUCAUGAACCCAGUACCUGACUGAAAUGCACCAACAAUCCAAAUUUAUCAUUCCUGCUAAUUACAAAUGACAUCACUAUUGCUCCAGGUAGCACUGCUACUUUCAUUUACAAAAUAAAAAAUCAUCAAUACAAACUAUUCUAGUUACCAAUAUAAAUUUCCAAGGUGUAUUGUCAAAUAGAAUUUAAUUAAACCUAGCUGAGACCUACCCUUCCCACCAUUCAACAAAAGAUAUUGAAAAUAGAAAAAUAAAUAACCAUUUAGAUGGGAGGAAGCUCAUAUUCUAUGGGUGUAAUAAUGAUCUGUCAAGCCAUGGCAACGGCAUUCAGAACGAGGAAUUACUUUAUAAUCAUUGCUAACCACCUUACUUUUUAAACUAACAUUUCAAAAUAACAAAUAAUCAGGACAAGCAAGGAUUUUGAUUAAUGUUGUCACAGAUAAGGAUGAUUAAUCAAGAAGACAUGGAACUUGGUACUAAAAGCAAACAGGGAAUAAAUUUAGGCAAAAUAAUAAUAAUAAUAAUAAUAAAUUAAGCAGAUUAUAGAAAGUGCAAAUAGCCAAAGUCAAAGAAAGGGGAAGAAAGAAAUGCAAGGAACUAGUUAAGAUUUAGCUUAUGUUUGGGACAGAUUUUUCAAAGUGAAAAAUGAUAUUUUUUUCAAUGAUGAUGUUAAAAAAUAAGAAAAACUUAUGAAUCCCAUAGAAUGUAUGGUUGAACAUAAUUUAUUUAUUUUUUUUAAAAAAAAGACUUAAAAUGACUUGGAUCACCCCGUUGUGAGACAUGCCAAACUCGGUCACAGAUAAUCUUUUACAUGUUAAGACCAAGGCCGUGACACUUGUCAUUAGAGGACAGGAGUAUAAAAAAGUUAAAAAUUAAAUAAAACUAAGAUAAUGAAUCUAACUGAUUACUCAAUUGUUAAAUGAGAAAUAUAAAUUACAAUGGUGGAUGAAUCUUGGCUUUGGAGGUGUGCGUAACCCAAAUUUCUAGAACCACUCUGUCAAAUAAGGGCUUUAAACACCACCGAACUUCAAUAUAAGGAGAGGCAGAAUGCACACAGUAAACACGAUUUCCUUCUACUGUGAUUAAUAAUAAAGCCAGCUCCUCAAUAUAAUAAAAACAUUAUGAAACCAUGAAAAUGUUUAUAAGAAAAGCAAAGAAUGUAUUCAUACAAAAAGAUUAUUAAAGAUGAAAAUUUGAAGUACCAUUAAUGCUGAUUAGAAAAACAAGAACAUAUUGGAUAUUAUUCAAUUAGUCAAACGAGCAACACAAUCACAUAACAAAAAAUAUGCCAAUGAUGAACCGCUCUUUAAAAAUAAGGGAGGAAAUUCAUUGAAUUCUGAAAGAGAGGACCAACAAGCUCCCCACUUCACACUUCCAAGUCGAUCUUCAAAUCUGUCUUGAAAGUUGAUCCAAGAUUUUUGCCAUGAACCAAGUUUCAAGGCAGAAUCUUUCUUCAAAGUUUGAAGAUAAUUAACUUCUACAUUGAUGCAAUCAAAAGAGGAUUUUUUAAAAAACUUAAGCCAAACUUGUUCUCAGCAUCCAAAAGAGUAAAAGAACUCUAAUAGAAAAUCUGAACCUUAUAAACAGUACUACAGAACCAGCUUUAACCACAAUAAUUAACAUACAAAAAAUCAUCUUUUUCCAUUUUGAAAUGUCAAAAAUGUCCUGCUUAAGAAGAUUGAAUGCAAAAAUUAAGGAGUCAACAAUGGCAGCUUUAGUAAGACCCACAUGACUAUUUAACUUUCAAAUUUUUGAUUAAAAAUGUAUUUCACGAAGUUACUUAACAGUAAUUUUAACUGUAGCAACCAUUGUUAACAGCUUUCUUACCAUUGUGCCCCUUAAUUUUUACAUUCAAUUUUCCUAAAUAGGGCAUUUUUGGGAUUUCAAAAUAGAUAGACGUCUACUUUUUUGUUUGUCAAUUAUUGUUACUAGAGCUAGUUGCAUAGUACUGUUAAAUGACGUAUUGGCACCAAAAAAGCGCAGCGUAAGUUUAAGAUAAAGUAGAAAAACACUUAAAAGUGCUUAUAGGAAGAAGGUAUUUCACAAAGUUGCUUGAAAGCAAAUUUUAAGUUUGCGUGCACAUUUGGCUACUGUUAAAAUUCAUUUUUGAGCACAUUUAACUUUCACCUUAGCUUAUAGAGUCAGAUUGCAUCAAAAACAAGUUCUUUAGAAGUUAGCAUUUCAAAAGAUUGCUUUUUUAAAAGUCUUCACCUAUUUUCUUCAAAAGCCAN
rnacentral:lncRNA from 1 species